rnacentral:rRNA from 1 species
AGUGGCGGACGGGUGAGUAACGCGUAAGAAUCUAACUUCAGGACGGGGACAACAGUGGGAAACGACUGCUAAUACCCGAUGUGCCGCGAGGUGAAACCUAAUUGGCCUGAAGAAGAGCUUGCGUCUGAUUAGCUAGUUGGUGGGGUAAGAGCCUACCAAGGCGACGAUCAGUAGCUGGUCUGAGAGGAUGAGCAGCCACACUGGGACUGUGACACGGCCCAGACUCCUACGGGAGGCAGCAGUGGGGAAUUUUCCGCAAUGGGCGAAAGCCUGACGGAGCAACGCCGCGUGAGGGAGGAAGGUCUUUGGAUUGUAAACCUCUUUUCUCAAGGAAGAAGUUCUGACGGUACUUGAGGAAUCAGCCUCGGCUAACUCCGUGCCAGCAGCCGCGGUAAUACGGGGGAGGCAAGCGUUAUCCGGAAUUAUUGGGCGUAAAGCGUCCGCAGGUGGUCAGCCAAGUCUGCCGUCAAAUCAGGUUGCUUAACGACCUAAAGGCGGUGGAAACUGGCAGACUAGAGAGCAGUAGGGGUAGCAGGAAUUCCCAGUGUAGCGGUGAAAUGCGUAGAGAUUGGGAAGAACAUCGGUGGCGAAAGCGUGCUACUGGGCUGUAUCUGACACUCAGGGACGAAAGCUAGGGGAGCGAAAGGGAUUAGAUACCCCUGUAGUCCUAGCCGUAAACGAUGGAUACUAGGCGUGGCUU